CUUUUAUUAAUAUAUAUUAAUUGGCACACUUUUGUGAUUUUAACUUAAUUUUCAGAAAGCUGAAGAGACAUUGUUAUUCAAGAUAAAAUUCAACUGUGCAAGUAGAGUUUUAUAAAUGUGAUGAUACAAAUCCCUUGUCAGGUUUUACAGUGUUGAAAAUACCUCGGUCAUUGCCAAUCUAUUAUCUUAUAAGUUGUAGUAUUUUAGUUUAAAAUUUUUAAAAAAUUACUGCAAAAUAUGGAUUUCUCCCAAUUAAACCAAAGUAUGACUAAUUUAAAUCUGUUCCAGUGAUUUUGUUUUAUGUACCAUGAGCUCAACAUUGGGAUUGGAAAGAAGACAGUUGUAAAUGUUUACAUCUAACAGUAGACAUAGCUGAGUGAAGAAUAAUUUCCAUGAAGAGUCACUAAAUAACAUUUCAUAAGGAGAACUGGAGUGAAAUAGGAUUGCAGUAAAAUAUGGACUCUGAGGUAGUACAAAAGAGAGUUGAGCAUAUGACAAAAUGUGUUAAAAAGGAAAAUGAAGGGACAAAAUAAGAAGCUUAAACUACAAAACCAAAACUAUAUCAGAGCCAAGUCAAACAAAGAAGAAAAGGUUGCAGACAUUUGAAGAAUCACUGGCAGAUCUACUUUGAAUAUAUUAUCACUACGAAAGGAAUAGAAAAUUCAUCCAUUCUGAAACCUGAAUAUACUCACUAGAAAUAAAAGCACUUGGAGUUGAUGAUGGAAUGGAUUUUGGGCUUUGUGACUGCAGCUUCUCUUUCUCCUCUGCUGCUGAUCCUUGGAUGAUGAGUACCACCGAGAAAAGGCACACUGUAGCAGAUUACAAUGCAAUUAUAUCAUUCCCUUUCCUCCUUCCAAUGCCAACAUAUGACAGAACAGUAAAUAUCACUGCAGUACAGACAUAUGUGCAUAGCUGCAUAUAAUGGGUCCCUUAGUGCAGGCAUUGUGAUUGGUUUUGAUAGUCUAAGCCACAAAUGAGGAGGUAAAAUGGUAAAUGGAAGAAACAGAGGCUGCGUGUCCUUUACCAAUAGAUGGAAAUUCUCAGCAUUGAAAGGAUGCAUCUGCUACAAUUACUAACAUGCCAAUCCUGAAUGUUGCUAAGGUAGCUGUGCCAGCCCUGCCCCUCGUUCCUUCACUCUCAGUUCAGUCCUAUUUAUACCCCCUCUGAACCUCCAAACAUCACAUGUCCUCCAUGGGUCUUCCCUCAGCAAAACUCCACCUGAGUCUGUCUUAGCAAAACUUCUUGCCUCUGUAUCAUCUGACAUCACCUAAUAUGAAGGCAAUCUUUGUUAUUACCUUGACUAGAGUUAGAUUUUCCAAAGAGAAACACAUAUGGAAGUGCUUGUGAAGGUGUUUCUAGAGAGGAUUAAUUGAGAAGAUAGGACCUGCCACUAAUUGGAAGCUAACUGACAGGAACUGAUGUCCCAGGCUGAAUAAAGUGGGGGAGAGGAGAAAAAUCA
rnacentral:lncRNA from 1 species